AUGGCCAUGGCGGCAUCGACCUCGCGGUGGUCCAGCCUCCUGCCGGACCUCCUGGACCAGCUGAUCGCCCGCCUCCUGCACAUCGCCGACCGCGCCCGCUUCCGCGCGGUCUGCCGCUCGUGGCAUUCCGCCGUGCGCCUGCACGUCUCCCCUCGGCGGCGGCUCCCGUGGGUCGUCCUUCUCGACGGCACCUUCCUGACGCUCUCAGAUGGCGGCAUCCACCGCGCGCCCUUCGGCAAGAACACCGAGUGUGUUGGCUCAACCGGCGACUGGAUCGCCCUCGACUGUAAAGACGACGCUACGCAGACGCACACGUACAGGCUGCACAACUACUCUUCCGGCGUCACCGUCCCGCUCCCAGAGCUGGACUCCAUCAUCGGCAAUGUUCCGGAGGAUUUCGAGAUCCGCAAGGUGGUCAUGCGUUCGACACCCCAAGACCUUAUUGCUGUCACAGCAAACAUAUGGAAAUACCCUUUGAUCCUGUGCCGACCUGGGAAGGGAGUGUGGGUACCAAGGAUAUUGGCCAUGCCCUACUUUUGUAUCUGUGACAUUCUGUUUUCUGGAGACAACAAGCUCUAUGCGAUCACCAAGGCCGAGGACCUUUUUGCACUACAUCUUGCUGAGGACGAUGAUGGCAAGCCCACUGUUACCAAUGUCAAACGGAUCAUCAGGCAUGCUCCCGGCCAUGAGGACGAUAUGUAUGACGACGACAUGUGGAAGAGGUUGAGUGACAUCGAUUCAUCAAGCGACGAGAAAGCCCAUGAUGAAUUGGUUGGUGAAGAUAAUGACACCGACGAUGAUCGUCAACAUUUUGCUUCCAUGGAAGAAAAAACUUUUUCUGAAUGUGAAGAUGGUGCAAGAGAAGGGUGGAAUGAAAUCCACACCAGCAGGCACCUUGUCCAGUUAAAAGGUAAAUUGCUCAUGGUUAAGAGAGAGCGGCUUAUUGCAGCCAUCACUCCAACUCACCACACUCGUAAGGUCGAAGUGUUUGAGGCAGACAUGGAUGCAUGA
rnacentral:rRNA from 1 species